AAAUCUUUCUCAUCUCACCUAUCUCGAUCUUUCAUAUAAUAGUUUUCCUGGUCAGAUUCCAUCUUGGAUUGGAAAUCUUUCUCAUCUCACCAAUCUUGACCUUCGUUCUAAUCAGAUUUUGGGUCAGAUUCCAACUUGGAUUGGAAAUCUUUCUCAUCUCACCAAUCUUGACCUUCGUUCGAAUCAGAUUUCGGGUCGGAUUCCAUCUUCGAUUGGAAAUCUUUAUAACCUCGCUUAUCUUGACCUUUUUGGGAAUGAUAUUGUUGGAGAAAUCCCAUCUUCUUUUGGCAAUCUAAACCAGCUGACCACCUUAGAUGCU
rnacentral:lncRNA from 1 species